GUGGGGAAUAUUGGACAAUGGGCGAAAGCCUGAUCCAGCCAUGCCGCGUGUGUGAAGAAGGUCUUCGGAUUGUAAAGCACUUUAAGUUGGGAGGAAGGGCAGUAAGUUAAUACCUUGCUGUUUUGACGUUACCGACAGAAUAAGCACCGGCUAACUUCGUGCCAGCAGCCGCGGUAAUACGAAGGGUGCAAGCGUUAAUCGGAAUUACUGGGCGUAAAGCGCGCGUAGGUGGUUCAGCAAGAUGGAGGUGAAAUCCCCGGGCUCAACCUGGGAACUGCCUCCAAAACUACUGAGCUAGAGUACGGUAGAGGGUAGUGGAAUUUCCUGUGUAGCGGUGAAAUGCGUAGAUAUAGGAAGGAACACCAGUGGCGAAGGCGACUACCUGGACUGAUACUGACACUGAGGUGCGAAAGCGUGGGGAGCAAACAGGAUUAGAUACCCUUGUAGUCC
rnacentral:rRNA from 1 species